rnacentral:tRNA from 1 species
GGAUUGUGGCUCAGAGGUAGAGCGCUCGCCUAGCACGCAUGAGGCACUGGGUUUGUUCCCCAACACCA